rnacentral:piRNA from 1 species
GUAUGUGAUGCAUAGAACUCUCUGAAU